AUUGAACGCUGGCGGCAUGCUUUACACAUGCAAGUCGAACGGCAGCGAGGAGAAGCUUGCUUCUCUGUCGGCGAGUGGCGAACGGGUGAGUAUAGCAUCGGAACGUGCCAAGUAGUGGGGGAUAACCAAACGAAAGUUUGGCUAAUACCGCGUAAGCUCUAAGGAGGAAAGUAGGGGACCUAAAUAAGGCCUUACGCUAUUUGAUCGGCCGAUGUCGGAUUAGCUAGUUGGUGGGGUAAUGGCUCACCAAGGCAAUGACCCGUAGCGGGUCUGAGAGGACGAUCCGCCACACUGGGACUGAGACACGGCCCAGACUCCUACGGGAGGCAGCAGUGGGGAAUUUUGGACAAUGGGGGAAACCCUGAUCCAGCCAUGCCGCGUGUAUGAAGAAGGCCUUAGGGUUGUAAAGUACUUUUGUUAGGGAAGAAAAGCUAGUUUUUAAUAAAAAUUAGUGAUGACGGUACCUAAAGAAUAAGCACCGGCUAACUACGUG
rnacentral:rRNA from 1 species